rnacentral:rRNA from 1 species
GGGGAAUUUUGGACAAUGGGGGCAACCCUGAUCCAGCCAUGCCGCGUGAGUGAAGAAGGCCUUCGGGUUGUAAAGCUCUUUCGGCCGGGAAGAAAUCGUGCAGGCUAAUACCCUGUAUGGAUGACGGUACCGGAAUAAGAAGCACCGGCUAACUACGUGCCAGCAGCCGCGGUAAUACGUAGGGUGCGAGCGUUAAUCGGAAUUACUGGGCGUAAAGCGUGCGCAGGCGGUUUUGUAAGACAGGCGUGAAAUCCCCGGGCUCAACCUGGGAACUGCCUUUGAUACUGGAAGUCUGGAGUCCGAGAGAGGUGAGUGGAACUCCGAGUGUAGAGGUGAAAUUCGUGGAUAUUCGGAAGAACACCAGUGGCGAAGGCGGCUCACUGGCUCGGUACUGACGCUGAGGUGCGAAAGCGUGGGGAGCAAACA